AGCUUUGCAUAGUGUCAGUAUCAUAGCCAAUGAGGUUUAUCCGAGGCAUGCUUAUUGCUAGCUGAAAACUCUUCACAGUGUCCCAUCACGACGACUUGCAAUAUAGUCGGCAUUGGCAAUUUUUGACCAUAGCUAUGG